rnacentral:rRNA from 1 species
CGAACGGGUGAGUAACACAUCGGAACGUACCCAGGAGUGGGGGGACAACCUCGAGAAAUCGAGGCUAAUACCGCAUACGUCCUGAGGGAGAAAGCGGGGGAUUCGCAAGGACCUCGCGCUCAUGGAUCGGCCGAUGCCGGAUUAGCUAGUUGGUGAGGUAAUAGCCCACCAAGGCUACGAUCCGUAGCUGGUUUGAGAGAACGACCAGCCACACUGGGACUGAGACACGGCCCAG